rnacentral:sRNA from 1 species
UGGCUCACGUGGUGGGUCAUCGUUUACACACAUAGUGAGAAGGAAGUAUCUCCCCAUAGGAAGCAUGAAGAUUCUUCAGUAAAGGGAAGACAAGUAACUGGGUUCCCCAAAUAGACCCUCCUAAAAUACUUUCAAAGUCUAAUUGUAGGUAAAUAUAAAACAAGU